rfam:Sugiyamaella lignohabitans strain CBS 10342 chromosome A, complete sequence.
GGUCUUAUAGUGUAGUUGGUUAUCACAGCGGAUUCUGAUAAAGACCAUUCCGCUAACCUGAGUUCGAAUCUCGGUAAGACCU